CCUANGGGAGGCAGCAGUGGGGAAUUUUUGGCAAUGGGCGCAAGCCUGACCAAGCAACGCCGCGUGGGUGAUGAAGUAUCUUGGUACGUAAAACCCUUUCGGCAGGGAGGAACAAAAUGACGUGUACCUGAAGAAUAAGCAUCGGCUAACUCCGUGCCAGCAGCCGCGGUAAGACGGAGGAUGCAAGUGUUAUCCGGAAUCACUGGGCGUAAAGCGUCUGUAGGUGGUUUAAUAAGUCAACUGUUAAAUCUUGAGGCUUAACCUUGAAAUCGCAGUCGAAACUAUUAGACUAGAGUAUAGUAGGGGUAAAGGGAAUUUCCAGUGGAGCGGUGAAAUGCGUAGAGAUUGGAAAGAACACCGAUGGCGAAGGCACUUUACUGGGCUAUUACUGACACUCAGAGACGAAAGCUAGGGUAGCAAAUGGGAUUAGAUACCCUANUANUC
rnacentral:rRNA from 1 species